UUGCUGCACAUUUUUCUCUUGGCAGAGAGCGCACAGAGAUAGAGAGAGAGGGAGAAGAUUAUUGAGUGAGAUUAAGAGGGGAGCGGACAAAUCAUGAGACUAUAGAAUUCAAUUGUUCCGGGGUGAUUUAGGAAUAGAAGUCUUGCCAAGGCAGUAUUGAUCCGAUCAGGAGGAGAGGGCUACCUGGAGCGAGAGGUUGCCAAGGUGGAACUGCUACUCUGGUUGGAAGCUGCAGAGGACCAGGGAGGAUCUGAGAUCCAAACCGCAUAUAUGUUAUAUUGAGAUAUUGAAACUUCAUAUUAUUAUUGGAUUAUUUAUGAUUCAAGCCGCAUUUGAGACUUUUGCUUUUAUUAAUAUGCCAACUUUGGGUUCUCCAGGGCCCGGAAUCAGGGGCGUUACAGUGAACAAAAAGAAGAUAGAUGAUAAUGGGGGAAGAAGGAAGAGCAAUCCCCAAAAUUGACUUGCAAGAGCUUCCAUUUCAGUAUACUAAACUGAGAGAAGCCUGCCAAGAAUGGGGCUGCUUUAGGGUAGUGAAUCACAGUGUCCCGGUCACCCUGAUGUCCGAGAUGAAGAGAGUGGUGAGGUCGCUGCUCGACCUCCCUAUCGAGACCAAGCACCGGAACAAGGAGGUGAGCUCAGGAAGUGGAUACAUAGCGCCAGGUAAAUUGGGCUCUAUUUACGAGUCACUCUGCAUUUCUGACCUGACCUCCCCUGAAGCCGUGUGCGCCAUCUGCUCAGUGUUGGAUGCCAGCCCUGAGCACAGGAAGUUGAUCGAGAUGUAUGUUCAAGCAGUUUGGGCACUGGCCAUUAACAUAGCAGACAAGGUGGCCAAGAGCUUAGGCUUGUUGACCAGCAGCAAUCUCUUUGCGGAGUGACCUUGCCGUAUGAGGAUGAACAAGUAUAGCUUUAACCCUGAAACUGUGGGCAACCGUGGCAUACUGUUGCACACAUAUAGCUCGUUCUUGUCGUUACUCCAGGACAAUGAUGUUGUGGGAGGGCUUGAAGUUGUCGAUGAGAAGUCCGGAUCCUUUGUAGCUGUCCAACCUUGCCCGGGUACCUUUUUUGUCAACGUUGGGGACUUCACUGUGGCAUGGAGCAAUGGGAGGUUUAGCAGCGUGAAGCAUCGGGUACAAUGCAUAGAAGGCGGAGUUCGUGUAUCAAUUGGGAUGCUCAUGUUCACGCCAUGGGAUGUUGCCGUUGAAUCACCUGAAGAGCUCAUUGACUCAGAGAAUCCCUGACUUUAUGUCCCGUUCACCUGCGAAGAUUAUAUGAAGCUCCGAAAGGAUAAGAAAAUGUACACCGAUGAAGCUCUUUCGCUGUUACUCACUCAUCCUUGAGAAGUGUAGGAAUAUAGCAAAGGAAGGCGCCCCUUAUGUAUACAUAUAUUGCUCACAGUUCUUUUUUCCUGUAAAUUAAUGGUCAAUGAAUUUACGGACUCAGACUGCCUUUGGAUGUUGAUUUUUAUGGAAUAGGUUUCUUUUCCAUACAAAACAAAAUGAAAAGAAUGAUAUUUGA